AACGCGAAGAACCUUACCAGGACUUGACAUGCCACUUUUUCCCUGAAAGGGGAAGUUCCCGAGUGGACACAGGUGGUGCAUGGCUGUCGUCAGCUCGUGUCUUGAGAUGUUGGGUUAAGUCCCGCAACGAGCGCAACCCUUGUUUUGAGUUGCUAUUUUUAGGAAACUCAAAAGACUGCCGGUGAGAAGCCGGAGGAAGGUGAGGAUGACGUCAAGUCAGCAUGCCCCUUACGUCCUGGGCGACACACGUGCUACAAUGGCCGGGACAAAGAGAUGCAAUCCCGCGAGGGGGAGCCAACCUCAAAAACCCGGUCUCAGUUCGGAUUGUAGGCUGCAACUCGCCUACAUGAAGUCGGAAUCGCUAGUAAUCGCAGUCAGACAUACUGCGGUGAAUACGUUCCCGGGUCUUGUACACACCG
rnacentral:rRNA from 1 species